UACGUAGGGCGCAAGCGUUGUCCGGAAUUAUUGGGCGUAAAGAGCUCGUAGGCGGUUUGUCGCGUCUGCUGUGAAAACCUAAGGCUCAACCUUGGGCUUGCAGUGGGUACGGGCAGACUAGAGUGCGGUAGGGUGACUGGAAUUCCUGGUGUAGCGGUGGAAUGCGCAGAUAUCAGGAGGAACACCGAGUGGCGAAGGCAGGU
rnacentral:rRNA from 1 species